GUAACAAGGUCUCCGUUGGUGAACCAGCGGAGGGAUCAUUACCGAGUUUACAACUCCCAAACCCCUGUGAACAUACCAAUUGUUGCCUCGGCGGAUCAGCCCGCUCCCGGUAAAACGGGACGGCCCGCCAGAGGACCCCUAAACUCUGUUUCUAUAUGUAACUUCUGAGUAAAACCAUAAAUAAAUCAAAACUUUCAACAACGGAUCUCUUGGUUCUGGCAUCGAUGAAGAACGCAGCAAAAUGCGAUAAGUAAUGUGAAUUGCAGAAUUCAGUGAAUCAUCGAAUCUUUGAACGCACAUUGCGCCCGCCAGUAUUCUGGCGGGCAUGCCUGUUCGAGCGUCAUUUCAACCCUCAAGCCCAGCUUGGUGUUGGGACUCGCGAGUUAAAUCGCGUUCCCCAAAUUGAUUGGCGGUCACGUCGAGCUUCCAUAGCGUAGUAGUAAAACCCUCGUUACUGGUAAUCGUCGCGGCCACGCCGUUAAACCCCAACUUCUGAAUGUUGACCUCGGAUCAGGUAGGAAUACCCGCUGAACUUAAGCAUAUCAA
rnacentral:rRNA from 1 species